UCGGCCUCCGAAACGCCUAAUAUCCAGCGACCGUCCGGCGUCGGAGGAGGGAGCGUGAAUUAACGCUGUGGGUGCGAUUUGGAUGUUCGGGGCUUCGCACAAAAAGUGGAAGGAAGUUUUUGCAGCGCCUUGCCUGUCUGUGUACAGUACAGCGCACGGUGGUAUAAGGCGCUUCUCAUACUCCGGCCAGGAAGGGAACUAGGGUGGGGGCUGCUAGGAGCCGCGGAAAGGGGUUCCGAUCCCGGUCCGGUCCCGGGAGAAGAAGUCGAAGGGAGCCGGACAGGUGUCGCGGCGCAGGGCCUUUUGGCAGGCUGCCGAAUGGGAAACUAGGACUCCCGCUCGCCGGCUGCCCUUUCGCCGGCCUGAGCGUUUGCAACGCUCUUGGCCGAGCAGAGCUCACACCCUUGCCUCCUUUUGGACGGAGCGGUCACUAAGCGCGGUCCGUCUGGUCGUGGGAAGCCCCGCGGGCGAAGGGGAGCGGAAAGGCCGGCCUUCAAAGGCUCGAAAGGUGCCGGGAAGAUUUUGCAAAGGCGCCCGGAAAGAUUGCAGCGCUGUGAGAACAAGCUCACUUCGCUCCCAGCGGGACGCAGCUCCUGGUCACAGAUCCAGAGUGUGACAAACGGCCACAACCAAGCGUCGUUCUCCUGAGACCUUUAUGCCACAAAAAGCGUAUCACCCUUGUGUGCCUGGCCCAGGGCUUCCGCUACAAGUGGCCGCUGGAUGUGAUCUGGAAGUGCAAUAACAAAAAGAUUGACCGACUCUCCUCUGCUACUGAGCCAGUCAAGAAAGAAGGGGAGUGCAACUUCGCCACUGCCAGCCGCCUGAGUGUGUUGGCAGAGGAGUGGCGGAAAGGCUACAACUAUUCCUGCCAUGUCAAGCAAACGGAGGAGGAGAUGAGUGACUUGGUGGAGAGCAGUCCAGACCACGAGACAGCUUCAGAAUCAGCUUCAGGUAUCUCUGAGGUUCAACUCAGCCUUUAUGCGGGGCAGUUUAUAUUCCUCCUACUAGGGGUCAAAAGCUUGGCCUACAGUGCUAUUCUGGGCAUCUACAAGUUCUAUAGAAAGAAAGGUCUCUAAUUGUGUUACCUGCUACAGCAGUAUUCACUCCAUUACCAGCCAAGGCACAGAUUUACAUCUAGCUGCAGGCCUUUCCCAGUGAAGAUCCAUUCCAUUCUGAAGUUUCCACAUCCUUCAUCUCAGCAUCUUCCUUCCAGAGGGACUCAUUGGUCACUUUAUAUUAAAUUGUUCUAUGCCUUGAGAAAAUUUCAAUACAUAUUUUCUGCCUCACAAUAAAGAUGUUCUGUUUCCUGAUUUUUGUGUGGAAAGUAUUAAUCCAGGUGGGUUUUCAUACGGUCUCCGAAUAUUGGGUGAGCAAGAGGAAACUGCAUCUAUUCAGAGGAAAUUAUGAUGACACAUUUUUCCCAUAUAGCUCUCUUCCAAAUCACAUCACCGCUAUCGUUAAAUCCUGGGUCGCCUGUACUUCACAUGUUGGUUGGACUUCAUGGCAUUCAGAAUCUUCUGAUGUCCUCCAUCAAGGCAAUGUGAAUGUAGAAAGGAACAAUGUCACGGUUGGAUGGGCAACUUUCAUAAAAUGUGCUGGAAUAUGAAUCCUGAUAAUAGCAUCAUACUGUGCUUCUAUCACCAUAGU